UUGGAAUAAUAAAAUGUAAAUAAAAAACUUUUAUUGUCGUUUCUAUAUAUUAUUUUAGCAACACAAAAUUGUUUUAUUAUUGGAAAAUAAAAAGGAAUUGUUUUAUACAAGUAUAAUUGUUCUUAUAAAACGACAAGAUUUUUUUAUGAAAAAUGACAAAAUUACAAUUUGAAUUUGUGAUAAAACCAUCGAGUGAUGGAAAAUCUAAUAUAAUGGCUAUAACUUCAUUUACCAAUGAAAAAAACCAAACUUUUGCAAUACCAGAAGAAUUACAGCAAAUAAAUCUUCAUAAAGAGGUAUGUAAUACAUCCGUCUACUUUAGUAAAAACCACCUUAAAAAAAAGACACCAAUUUAGAAAAAUUUGGAUUGGUCUGACGGAGGAACUAAAAAAAGUUAACAUUGAUGAUUAUGGAAAUAUGAUAUUUGAAAACCAAUAUUUAGAAGAAAUAACAGAUAAACCAGCUGCUAAUAGUAUUUCGGAUGAAAAAAAGACUUUUAAUGAUUUAAAUCAGAACACUUUAAAACUUAUAGAAAAAUGUAUGGAAAACACUCGGAUGACAAGAAAUCAAAACUUGAAAAAAAUAUCAGAACAGUUUUUACUUGAAAAAUUCACGAGCAAGAAUACAAAUGUAAAUCAAUGGAUAGACAUUUUUGAAAUGGAAUGUACCCGUUAUGAUGUAAUGAAAGAUGAGCAAAAAAUUGAAAUUCUCAGAUUGUUUUUGGAUAAAUCUUGCUCUGAUUGGUACAGCUCUAUGCUUAUAAAACUGACCAGAGACUCUGAUUGGAAAAUAUGGAAAGAAUAUUUUUGUGACACAUUUAAAAACAAAGGGUGGAACCCAAUCACAUAUGCGUUAGUAUACAAAUAUAAAGACGGUUCAUUGUUUGACUAUGCGAUAAAAAAAGAGAAACUUUUAUUGUACAUGAGAAGAUCGAUUGAUUCAGUUACCUUGAUUGAUAUUAUUGCAGCUGGGUUUCCAGGUUUUAUUCUUAAUGAAAUUGAUAGGGAGAUAUUAAAAAACACAGUGGAUCUCCUUAAUGAAAUCACCAAAUAUGAGCAUUUAGUAAAUAGAAAAAGUAUUUUUGAGAAAAAAAAAAUAUUAUAAAUAUAAAUAAUAAAGAAGGACAUGAGGAAAAAAAUCAUGUAAAAAUUGUGAAAGAUUAAAUAAAGGCACUCGUUACCAUGCUGAAACAGUUUGUUGGUUUAAAACAAAAGAAAAUGAUAGAGGAAAAAACAACUACAUCAAACAUGUAAACAAUGAAGUAGUGGAAGUUGAACUAAAUGAAACGGACCAAAAAAACUAAUUGUUACACCAUUAAUCAAAACAAAAAUACUUUUAGAUAAUAAAUUGGAAAUAUUGGGAAUAUAUGACUCAGGAUCAAACGUUUCUUUAAUAAAUUCUAAAUUAAUAAAAAUAAAAAAUAAAAAAAUUAUUAAUACAAAAAAUGAAAAUAUAACAACGAUUAAUGGUGUCAAAAAAACAAGUGGUUUGAUAACUAUAAAAAUUAAAAUUUUUGAAAUAGAAAAAAAAGUUGAUGUUUUCAUCAUAGAUGAAGAAAACUUUAAAUAUGAUUUUUUUAUUGGAUUAGAUAUGAUAAAAAAUUUCAAACUUAUUCAAAAUGAAAAUUUAAUAAUAACUCAAAAAAAUGAUAAUAAUAUAGAAAAAGAUUCUACCAACAAUGAAAUGAAAAAUAAUCAAGAAAACUACAAAAUUAAUUUUAAUGAAUACAUAAAAGAAAAGGAUUUUCAAAUAAAUAUAGAUCACUUAACAAAAAAUCAAAAAUCUGAAAUAAAUAAACCGAUUGACAAAUAUAAAUCAAUUUUUGCAAAGGACAAAUAUGAUAUUGGUACAGUGAAAAAAUAUGAGGCAUAUAUUGACUUAUUAGUCGACAAAUAUUGUAGUAAAAGGCCUUAUAGAUGCACGGUAGAAGAUAAAAAGGAGAUAGAAGAACAAAUAUCAAAAUUAUUAGAUAAUAAACUUACCAUUUAAACAUAGCAUUUAAAAAAGAAGAUAACAAAAGAUCCAGGCUAUGUAUAGAUUUCAGGGACUUGAAAAAAAUAGUUAUACCUCAAGCUCAACCAUUCCCACUGAUUGAUGACUUAAUGAUAAAGACAAGAAAUUGUAAAUUAUUCUCCACAUUGGAUAUAAAUACUGCUUUUUGGUCAAUCCCUCUGCGAAUUGAAGAUAGGAAGAAGACUGCUUUUGUCAGACAGGAGGGACAUUUUCAGUGGACCUGCUUACCUUUCGGCCUAAAAACCUCACCUUCAAUUUUUCAGAGAAAACUAAGUGACAUAUUAAGGAAUUAUAAACUUACAGAUUUUGCUGUAAACUAUAUAGACGAUAUUCUUAUAUUUUCUAAAUCUUUUUCUGAACACAUGGAUCAUAUAACAUAGUUGUUAGAGGCAAUAAAAAAAGAAGGCUUCAGGUUAAAGUUCAAAAAAUGCACAUUUGCAAAAAACUCAGUGAAAUAUCUUGGUCACAUAAUAAACAAUAAUUGUAUCAAACCUAUAAAAGAUAAUUUAAUUUCAAUAAAAAAUUUUCCUGAUCCAAAAACUCAAAAGAAUAUAAGGCAAUUUCUGGGAAAGAUAAAUUUUUACCAUGAUUAUGCACAAAAUAGUGCAAUAAUCCUAGAGCCACUGCAUAAUUUACUUAGGAAAAAUCAAAGAUUUAUCUGGUCUGUAGAGUGUCAAAAAACAUUUGACUAUAUAAAAAAUUUGCUGUGCUCACAACCAGUUCUAGAAAUUUUUGAUCAAGAAUUGCCAAUUAAUUUUUACACAGAUGCAUCUUUGGAAGGUAUUGGAGCAAUAUUAAAACAAAUGCAACCAAAUGGGAAAGAAAAACCAGUGGCAUACUUUUCAAAGAAACUAAAUGAAGUCCAAAAAAGAAAAAAAGCUUGGAGGGUUUAGCUAUAAAGGAAGCAAUAAGAUACUGGCAAUAUUGGCUAAUAGGAAAAUCAUUUACUGUAUACUCGGAUCACAAACCAUUGGAAAAUAUGAACAUAAAAUCUAGACCUGACGAAGAGCUUGGAGAUUUGACUUACUAACUGUCACAAUAUGACUUUCAAAUAAAAUAUACGCAGAGACAGAGAAAAUUGGAAUGCUUCUCACUGAUCAAUACCCUGGGAUUAAUUCAAAUGAAUUCAAAAAUUUUUAAAAAAGAAAUCAAUACCAAUUGUUUUACUGCAAUAAAUGCACCUUUCUCAAAUGGAAUAAAUGAAAGACUUAAUCAAACGCUGGUGAACAAAAUCAGAUGUAAAAUCAAUGAGAGAAAAAAAAAGUAGCCUGGACAACAAUAGCUGGACAACGGCUGGGAGUGGAGAUCCCGCUUAAGGAUUCCAUGACUUAUCUGAGCCUUGUCAUAGACAAACGUCUAAAGUUCGGGCCGCACAUUACUCGUGCGGGCCCAGAUAGUCAUGAAUUGCCUGGCGGGACUCAUGCCCAAUCUGGGAGGGCCGAAAGAGACUAAAUGUUGGUUCAGGCCGGCUCCUUAGGUAUUUUGUGUUUAAUGUUAUGUGUGAGUUAUUUUUGCCCCUCUCGCAUUGAACGGGGGAGGCCACACCACGUUGUGAAUCUUUCUUUUUUUUUCUUCUUACAGCCGACUUCAUGCAGACCGCCCCGGGACUGCCGUUAAGCAUUGCUUCGAAGCGGCCUACGUCGCUUUCUAACACUUCUGCCACCGCGCUGUGCUUCGGCCCGAACUUAAUCCGGGGCCGGAUCAUAGCGCGGUGCUGCCUCCCCCGUUAGCCGGACCCCACUGGUGGGUCCGUUGCCCGGGCUGCACCACGCGGAGGUGGGGGCAGGACUUCGCGAUGGGUUGGAUCCAUCCUUGAAGGGCACUCUUUAGCGAUAUGCCCACCUUUUCUGUACCUGUGACAGUUCCCUGACCUGUCCGGGCCCUUACAGCUGUGGGCAAUGUGCCCAUACUCCAGACAUCUGUAGCACUGAGGACCUUUGUCAAUGAUCCUCAGUCUACAGUUUGUCCAGCCGACUUUUAUUCGGCUCACUGUGGUAAGCCGAAUAGCAACCUUGACGGGCACGUCGUAUCUCGCGUAACGCCCCUUGCCUUCAAUGUUAGGCCGUAUGAUAACGGGCCCAACACUUGGACAUUCCAGAGCGUCGCUUAGGGCCCGACGCACCUCGUUAUCUUCGUGCCAGUCCUCCACAUCCUUGAUUAGGACAGUGCGGGUCAUCGAAGGGCGAUGCACCCGCACAUCCUUCUCUUUGAGCGCCUCCUCCAACUUGGCGGCUAGUAAAUCCGCUUUCUCGGCGGUUCCUCGAACUUCCAGCAGAAUGGCCCCCGUCUGAAUCCUCCGGGUCCCAGACACCUGGAUACCCAAGGCCACAAGGUCCACAGAGGGCGACGCCGUCUUCAUCACUUCGGCAUACUUCAAGUUCCCCUUCAAAGGGCCGAUAAUCACAGCCUCCGUACGAGGCACCCUCGCCCGCAACUUUUUUCGUGUAGGCGGUGGAGGUCUAGGCCUAGUUGCCGUUUCCUCGGUCUUCCCCAGUCCACCCUUGCGACGAACCACCUCCGUCCAAGUGGGCCUCUCCGUCUCCGCUCCUGUGUCCACACUCGCCGGAGCGGACUUUGCAGCAGCAGUCCCCCGAUCCGAAUGCUUCUCGGGAAGCGUAACGGUCGGCGAGGAGGCCGUACUCUCGACAGUGUUCAGUCUCUUCUUCUUCUUCUUCUUUCGCUUCUUCCCAGGCAUCGUCAACGGAUCAGACCUGGCAUUUGGGGGCUCCUCCGUUGUUUGUGUGGCCACAUUCCUCCUCAACGCCAUAUCAGACGUCCCCGGCCUGUUUGUUUGCGGUCCAACCGCCGUUUGAGUUCCCGCGUCCGUUGUCGGCUUCCGUUUCGCGAAUACCGGAGCUAACGUACCAGAACCCCUUUCCGGCGAGGCUACAAUGGUCCCCGAGCGCGGUGUCGGUCUCCUGCGCUUUUCCGUAGCCAGGAUUUCCUCCAGCUUCUUGGUCGCCUCCUGGACUUCCUUGUGGAUGCCCAUCCCUCUACGCUUAUCGAUGACUCCGCGGAGCGCUGCGACUUGUCCCGCUAUGUUUCCAACCAAAGCCGAUUGCGCGGUUGCUUCUUCCUCGGAGUCAUGCCUCUUCUUACGGCGUGACAUGUCCGAACUUCGAAGUUCGGUCAGCGCUUGGCAGGAAAGAGUUAUCUGCUCCAGUAAGUAGUACUGCAGAUGAGUACCUGGAACCUCUUUCAUGAGGCUACCCUCCACUUCGGCCUGUCUGGUCAGGCCGACGACAUGAUUCAAUCCGAUGUCGAAUGUCGCUUCAUCGUCGCUCUCUUCGUUACAAAGUGGCGCCUUCCUCUUCCCGGGGUAACGCUUUGGGGGCGUCUCCUCCGGCAGGGGGCUCAAAGGCGGGGAGACCUCACGGAAAGGAGCGGUCGUCGCCUGCCCGAGAGAAGGCUCAACACCACUCACACCAGGCCUAACACCUGUCCUCAUUGUUUCGUCCUCGGAUAGACUAUUGUCUCCUUCGGACGAUUCCUCCACAACUCCGGGUGCCGUUUCCGCGACGACGCAUUCGUAGUCGAACACAUCAACGACAUCCCGGAGUCCAAUCCCCAUUGCUUCCAUCAUCGGAUCCUUCCUAUGGCGCGUCAACAGUUCCCGGCUGACCAGCCGAGCAAUUUGGAUCGCACGGUCCGCCGUGCUUUCGCCUCGAAGGGAGGAGACGCACUUACUCAUAAGGCAUACUCGCUCCUCUUCCCCUUCUACUCCAUGGAAGGGGUUAUAAACCUCCUUGCGCUCCGGAGAGAAGUUGCCUCCGUUUUGGACGUCACUGGUCAUCAUCCCCAGUAUGGUGUCUACUGCGCCCUUAAAGACGCUUAGGUUGCGGAAUCUUUGACGAGUGCUAAAAAUACAAAUGACAUUUCACGAUAAAAAAGCAUGAUAAUUAUUUCUUGUUUGCCGAUACGUUUAAUAAUUACUUCAAGUCAUUAUAAUAUCUAUUUCAAAAAAAUUUUUAUCAAGUCUUAUAAAAAAAUUGUUUGACACUAUAGACA